rnacentral:rRNA from 1 species
UACGUAGGUGGCGAGCGUUGUCCGGAUUUACUGGGCGUAAAGGGCUUGUAGGCGGUCCGCUAAGUCUGGUGUGAAAUCUCCCGGCUCAACUGGGAGGGGUCAUCGGAUACUGGCGGGCUAGAGUGUGGCAGAGGGGGGUAGAAUUCCACGUGUAGCAGUGAAAUGCGUAGAGAUGUGGAGGAACACCAGUGGCGAAGGCGGCGAUCUGGGAAGAUACUGACGCUGAGGUGCGAAAGCGUGGGGAGCAAACAGG